AUGUUAAACUACACAGUUUUUACAUUUUUAUUGCAUUUUACGAAAUAACUCUUAAUAUUUUUUUUUACAUUUUCAUGUUUGGCUUUCAUAAUGGAUGCAGCGGUGUGCCACUGGCUCGGACUGCUACAAAGUGGAAACUGCAUGUGCUGCUUAGCCUGGCGUAGCAUCUACGGGAGAGGCAUGGGGCAUCCUGAGGUGCGAUGUGUGCUGAUUUUUCUAUCGCGGCAUCUGCUCUUGACACUGCUGGUGCUGCAGAUUAGCACCUGUACAUGAUGUUCUGGUGGUUGGUCACGACAACGUGUACGAGUGGGUACCACGACAGGAAAAAAGGAGAAAAGGGAGACCACGUAAAAGAUGUGGAUCCCAUUGUAUGCGGACAGCACGGGAAAGAGAUGUUUGGAAAGAUUUAGGAGAAGCCUACGCUACAGAAGUGACUACUACUUAUAAAUUGUAAUAAAAUUAUAGUAAACUAGUUUAAUAACCUAUUAAAUAAAUUAAAGAUCAUAUAUAUAGUUCAAACUAGAGUAAGAUGUUAAAUAUUGCUGUAGUAGAAAAAUAAAGGCUAUUUUUAUUUUUUUAUGCAA